GGGCCGUUAGCUCAGCUGGUAGAGCACCGCCCUUUUAAGGCGAUGGUCGAUGGUUCGAAUCCAUCACGGCUCACCA
rnacentral:tRNA from 1 species